rnacentral:rRNA from 1 species
GGUACUAAGCUAGAGAAAAGUAGGGCGGGGCACGAGAAACCUUGUCUGAAUAUGGGGGGACCAUCCUCCAAGGCUAAAUACUCGUAAUCGACCGAUAGUGAACCAGUACCGUGAGGGAAAGGCGAAAAGAACCCCGGGAGGGGAGUGAAAUAGAUCCUGAAACCGCAUGCUUACAAAAAGUAGGAGCCCGCAAGGGUGACUGCGUACCUUUUGUAUAAUGGGUCAGCGACUUACAUUCAGUGGCAAGGUUAACCGAAUAGGGAAGCCGUAGAGAAAUCGAGUCCGAAUAGGGCGAAUCAGUCGCUGGGUGUAGACCCGAAACCAAGUGAUCUAUCCAUGGCCAGGAUGAAGGUGCCGUAACAGGUACUGGAGGUCCGAACCGACUAAUGUUGCAAAAUUAGCGGAUGAGCUGUGGAUAGGGGUGAAAGGCUAAACAAACUUGGAAAUAGCUGGUUCUCUCCGAAAACUAUUUAGGUAGUGCCUCAAGUAUUACCUGCGGGGGUAGAGCACUGUUUAGGCUAGGGGGUCAUGGCGACUUACCAAACCUAUGCAAACUCCGAAUACCGCAGAGUACAGCUUGGGAGACAGAGCACCGGGUGCUAACGUCCGGACUCAAGAGGGAAACAACCCAGACCGCCAGCUAAGGUCCCUAAAAUUGGCUAAGUGGGAAACGAAGUGGGAAGGCUAAAACAGUCAGGAUGUUGGCUUAGAAGCAGCCAUCAUUUAAAGAAAGCGUAAUAGCUCACUGAUCGAGUCGUCCUGCGCGGAAGAUGUAACGGGGCUAAGCCAGUUACCGAAGCUGCGGAUGUGCAAUUUAUUGCACGUGGUAGGAGAGCGUUCUGUAAGCCUGUGAAGGUGUCUGGUAACGGAUGCUGGAGGUAUCAGAAGUGCGAAUGCUGACAUGAGUAGCGUUAAAGGGGGUGAAAAGCCCCCUCGCCGUAAGCGCAAGGUUUUCUACGCAACGUUCAUCGGCGUAGAGUGAGUCGGCCCCUAAGGCGAGGCAGAGAUGCGUAGCUGAUGGGAAACAGGUCAAUAUUCCUGUACCGAUCAAUAGUGCGAUGUGGGGACGGAGAAGGUUAGCUCAGCCAACUGUUGGAUAUGUUGGUUCAAGCCUGUAGUCAUGCCCGGUAGGCAAAUCCGCCGGGCUUAGAUGAGGGGUGAUAACGAGUCUGCUUGCAGACGAAGUGAGUGAUACCCAGCUUCCAGGAAAAGCCACUAAGCUUCAGCUAUUGACGACCGUACCGCAAACCGACACUGGUGCGCGAGAUGAGUAUUCUAAGGCGCUUGAGAGAACUCUGGAGAAGGAACUCGGCAAAUUGAUACCGUAACUUCGGGAGAAGGUAUGCCGCAAGUAGGUGAUCCNNNNNNNNNNNNNNNNNNNNNNNNNNNNNNNNNNNNNNNNNNNNNNNNNNNNNNNNNNNNNNNNNNNNNNNNNNNNNNNNNNNNNNNNNNNNNNNNACCUGUACAAGGGGAGCCCAAAGCGGUUGCAAAAAAUCGGUGGCUGCGACUGUUUAAUAAAAACACAGCACUCUGCAAACACGAAAGUGGACGUAUAGGGUGUGACGCCUGCCCGGUGCUGGAAGAUUAAAUGAUGGGGUGCAAGCUCUUGAUUGAAGUCCCAGUAAACGGCGGCCGUAACUAUAACGGUCCUAAGGUAGCGAAAUUCCUUGUCGGGUAAGUUCCGACCUGCACGAAUGGCGUAACGAUGGCCACACUGUCUCCUCCAGAGACUCAGCGAAGUUGAAAUGUUUGUGAUGAUGCAAUCUCCCCGCGGAAAGACGGAAAGACCCCAUGAACCUUUACUGUAGCUUUGUAUUGGACUUUGAACAGAUCUGUGUAGGAUAGGUGGGAGGCUUUGAAGUGAGGACGCUAGUUCUCAUGGAGCCAACGUUGAAAUACCACCCUGGUGUGUUUGAGGUUCUAACCUUGGUCCAUUAUCUGGAUCGGGGACAGUGCAUGGUAGGCAGUUUGACUGGGGCGGUCUCCUCCCAAAGCGUAACGGAGGAGUUCGAAGGUACGCUAGUUACGGUCGGACAUCGUGACGAUAGUGCAAUGGCAUAAGCGUGCUUAACUGCGAGACUGACAAGUCGAGCAGAUGCGAAAGCAGGACAUAGUGAUCCGGUGGUUCUGUAUGGAAGGGCCAUCGCUCAACGGAUAAAAGGUACUCUGGGGAUAACAGGCUGAUACCGCCCAAGAGUUCAUAUCGACGGCGGUGUUUGGCACCUCGAUGUCGGCUCAUCUCAUCCUGGGGCUGUAGUCGGUCCCAAGGGUAUGGCUGUUCGCCAUUUAAAGAGGUACGUGAGCUGGGUUUAAAACGUCGUGAGACAGUUUGGUCCCUAUCUUCCGUGGGCGCUGCAGAUUUGAGGAAGCCUGCUCCUAGUACGAGAGGACCGGAGUGGACACACCUCUGGUGUAUCGGUUGUCACGCCAGUGGCAUUGCCGAGUAGCUAAGUGUGGAAGAGAUAACCGCUGAAAGCAUCUAAGCGGGAAACUCGUUUCAAGAUGAGAUCUGCCGGGGCCUUGAGCCCCCUGAAGAGUCGUUCGAGACCAGGACGUUGAUAGGUUGGGUGUGGAAGCGCAGCAAUGCGUUAAGCUAACCAAUACUAAUUGCUCGUGAGGCUUGACCCU